rnacentral:misc_RNA from 1 species
GAUGAAGAACGUAGCAAAAUGCGAUAAGUAAUGUGAAUUGCAGAAUUCAGUGAAUCAUCGAAUCUUUGAACGCAACUUGCGCCCUUUGGUAUUCCGAAGGGCAUGCCUGUUUGAGUGUCAUAUAAACCUCACCUCUACUGUUUUUCAUUAGACAUGUGGAUUGGUGCUUUGGGUGUCUGCCGUUUACUCUGGCUCGCCUUAAAUGUCUAAGUGGAAUGCGUAAUAAGUCUUCGCAACCCUCCACUCUAAUACAAAACUUUUAUAUUCUGACCUCAAAUCAGGUAGGACUACCCGCUGAACUUAAGCAUAUCAAUAAGCGGAGGA